AAGCUUAAAAUCUCCAUACAAUUUUUGUAUGGCGAAUUGUAGUCUAUAGAAGCGUGGUCAGUGUAGGCACUUGGGGUAAGUUCCUUGGAAAAGGACAGCAUGGAGGGUGAUACUCCCGUUUAUCUCUAAGUUGCUUAUACGUACGACCCGUUUUCUUUGAGUCGCGUUGUUUGAGAAUGCAGCGCAAAGUAGGUGGUAAAUUCCAUCUAAAGCUAAAUAUUGGUGCGAGACCGAUAGCAAACAAGUACCGUGAGGGAAAGAUGAAAAGAACUUUGAAAAUAGAGUUAAAGAGUACCUGAAACUGCUGAAAGGGAACCAAAUCGUUUCCAGUGUCUAUAAUCCGUGGUAUAUCACAUCGGCGAGCGUGUGCGUGUGUGUGCUGUUGUAGUGGCCUUUUGGUUACGCUCGGCGUAUGUGCUGUAUAUGCUUGCUGGUGCCCUGUACUGCGGUGGGACGUCAAGGUCAGUUCGUAUGCUGCGGGAAAUGACUACCAAGGAGGUAGGGCUUACGCUUGCGUUUGUCUGUUAUAUCUUGGUAGACGAGUAGUCGCGGUUGGGACUGAGGUGCCUACAACGUGCUUUUGAGUGGGCUUGGGUCUUCGUGUGCGCCGUGUGCGGAUAGCUUGCUAUGCGUGUGUGGUUGUGUAUG
rnacentral:rRNA from 1 species